ensembl:lncRNA
CCCUCUCUCUUUAUUGAUUGUUACAGAUUCAGCGUUGACAGGGGUUGUUCUGAAUGUAACAGGAUCCCGUGGCAGAUGUAAACCAGACUGCAAGCAUUUGCCUUGCGUUUUGCAGAGGAGGUCAGCGCGGGGGUUUGCCUGUGAAAACGUGGAUGUGGGGCUGCCAGCAUCAGCAGGCAAAGCUGGGUGCUUCUCUUGGUGGUACUUUGCAAACCAAGCGUGGGCAGCGCAGCCCUCUUCUGCCAUCCUUUGGACCUCCCAUGGCCUCUGCAUCGCGCUGACACCUCGCUGAGGCUGACAGGAGCUGCGUUUUGGCCCAGGAGCUCCACACGAGGAGGCUGGGCCUGCAGAGUGGAGCACUCCGGGUCUCAUUUGCAGGUGGGCAGUGGGGGCUCCCAGUGAGGGCUGUCUGCAUGUUGCAGGUCCAGGUUCUUUAGAAGCCCUGGGUGUUGCUACGUGCUUCGCAGGGAGCCUUUGAAGUCAGCCUGAGCUCCAAGCCAUCCCCUAAUUGCUUCUCCUUUAUCAGACAGAUUUUCAAUGAACUUCACAGAAGGCGUUUGAGGCCAGAGCGGCCCCAUCGGCUGCCAAGUGACCGGUGCUGGGUGAGCCCUGUUUUUUAAAUGUAAAGAUGUUUCUUUAUGUUUGGGUAGGGACGGGCUGCGGUCACCGGGACCUGAGGAAGCGGCAGGCAGCCUCCGUGCAUUGGGAUAGCACAGCUCAGGUUUCCUUUCAGGCCUUGGCUAUGUUACCUUGGAGGAAUGUUCUCAUGGUGUGAGAUCUCUGUUGGAUGUGGACAUGGCAGCGCAUCUUCAGAUCCAUCUGCCCACCAAGAAGAGAUGUCCUCCCUCAAACUGGAGAUUGCCAUAGCCAAAAAGCCCUCAAGGAAUCUGCAGAUCUUCUCUCAUCCCAUCUUCCCCGUGGAUGGGGAAACAACUGUGUAAGAAGAGAAGGAACCUGUCCUCAAGACAUGGUCAGAUCUGUCACCACCCGGUUGCCAAAUCAUUGCGAGAGAGUGAUGGAUGGAGCUGGAAAACCUGGUCAGUUCAGAGAUGGACUGAUGAGAGAUGGAACGGGAUCACAUCUUGGUGAACACACAGAUGUCACUGCUCCCACCACCAACGUCCCCACCAGCCUGGAGAAAUCCCAGCUGGGUGUCCACAGCUCUGAGAGUCACUGCCAAGGAUUCAGCCACUCGGUCCUGUUGCUGCCGCACCAGAUUUCCUCACACCCCUCUGCGCCCACACAAUGUGGUUAUUGCUGUUGCAGUAUGAAUACAGAGAACCUUCCCCUCAGACAACCAAUUUUGGCAGGACUGGGACACAGAGAUCCCCAAGCUUUCAGAUCAACUGCUCCAUCAUGGCCUGCAUGGAAAAGAAGGAUUUCCCCUCCCUCAGACCUUCUCACCACUGUCCUGGAGGCUCAGACGCUGGAUCAAGCCUACAGCGAUUAACAUUCAACACCUGUGCUUCAAUCAAGCUACUUUUCUCUAGUAAUAUCAUUUAUGCUGAAACUUCAUCUCCUUCAGUCACUGAUCUUCAGGCUUAUCUGCCUUAGCCUGGUGUAAAUCCAGGGUAACCCUGUUCUUAUUGGAGUUAUUCCUGAUCAGCACUGGUUUAAAUGAAAUCCGAAUGUGACCCACAGAUGACAUCAUUUCGGGGCCUUGCAGAGAUCAGAGCCAUAAGACAGACUCGUGGUGGCGAUUGCCUCAUCCAUGCCACAAACAAGCAAAGCAAGGUGGUAGAGUUGCUGUCGUGUCUUGGUUAAUUGACAUGGAAAAAUCUUGAAUGUUCCGCGAUUACAGGAAGUGUUUUCACUGAGGUAGGAACCACACGCCUCCAUGCUGGCCUAUCUGUGGGGUUUCUUCUCUACAAGUCCAUGAAAUUCCCAGGCUUGGCAUGCAUUGCGCUGGGAGAUUGAC